GCGCGAAAACUUUACAAUGCUGGCAACAGCGAUAAGGGAACCUCGAGUGCCAGGUACAAAUCUGGCUGUCGAGAUGCCUAAAAAGCAUUUCAUAGCAAGGGCCGGGCAAGACCGGUGCCAGCCGCCGCGGUAACACCGGCGGCUCGAGUGGUAACCGUUAUUAUUGGGUCUAAAGGGUCUGUAGCCGGCCGGAUAAGUCUCUUGAGAAAUCUGGCAGCUUAACUGUCAGGCUUUCAGGAGAUACUGUCUGGCUCGAGGCCGGGAGAGGUGAGAGGUACUUCAGGGGUAGGGUGAAAUCUUGUAAUCCUUGAAGGACCACCAGUGGCGAAGGCGUCUCACCAGAACGGACCUGACGGCAAGGGACGAAAGCUAGGGGCACGAACCGGAUUAGAGACCCGAGUA
rnacentral:rRNA from 1 species